rnacentral:rRNA from 1 species
UGCAUAUCAAUAAGCGGAGGAAAAGAAACCAACAGGGAUUGCCUUAGUAGCGGCGAGUGAAGCGGCAAAAGCUCAAAUUUGAAAUCUGGCACCUUCGGUGUCCGAGUUGUAAUUUGAAGAUUGUAACCUUGGGGUUGGCUCUUGUCUAUGUUUCUUGGAACAGGACGUCACAGAGGGUGAGAAUCCCGUGCGAUGAGAUGCCCAAUCCUAUGUAAGGUGCUUUCGAAGAGUCGAGUUGUUUGGGAAUGCAGCUCUAAGUGGGUGGUAAAUUCCAUCUAAAGCUAAAUAUUGGCGAGAGACCGAUAGCGAACAAGUACAGUGAUGGAAAGAUGAAAAGAACUUUGAAAAGAGAGUGAAAAAGUACGUGAAAUUGUUGAAAGGGAAGGGUUUGAGAUCAGACUCGAUAUUUUGUGAGCCUUGCCUUCGUGGCGGGGUGACCCGCAGCUUAUCGGGCCAGCAUCGGUUUGGGCGGUAGGAUAAUGGCGUAGGAAUGUGACUUUGCUUCGGUGAAGUGUUAUAGCCUGCGUUGAUGCUGCCUGCCUAGACCGAGGACUGCGAUUUUAUCAAGGAUGCUGGCAUAAUGAUCCCAAACCGCCCGUCUUGAANNACGGACCA